rnacentral:rRNA from 1 species
UACGUAGGCAGCAAACGUUGUUCGGAAUUACUGGGCGUAAAGAGUGUGUAGGCGGUUCUGCAAGUUUGGGGUGAAAUCUCCCGGCUUAACUGGGAGGGUGCGCCGAAAACUGCAAAGCUAGAGUACUGGAGAGGAAAGCGGAAUUCCUGGUGUAGCGGUGAAAUGCGUAGAUAUCAGGAGGAACACCGGUGGUGUAGACGGCUUUCUGGACAGUAACUGACGCUGAGACACGAAAGCGUGGGGAGCAAACAGG